UACGUAGGGACCAAGCGUUGUUCGGAUUUACUGGGCGUAAAGGGUGCGUAGGCGGCGUGUCAAGUCAGUUGUGAAAUCUCCGAGCUUAACUCGGAACGGUCAACUGAUACUGUCAUGCUAGAGUGCAGAAGGGGCAAUCGGAAUUCUUGGUGUAGCGGUGAAAUGCGUAGAUAUCAAGAGGAACACCUGAGGUGAAGACGGGUUGCUGGGCUGACACUGACGCUGAAGCACGAAAGCUAGGGUAGCAAACGGG
rnacentral:rRNA from 1 species